AGGCAGACAGUUAUCCCUCUUUAGUCUGACCCAGUGGCUCUAGAGGGAGUCAGUCUGCAAAAUCAAUUGGGGGCCCUGUUUCUGUCCAGCAUCACGGUGCUUUGAUGAUGGUUGCAGACUUGCCGUACAUUC